UAAACCUUAAAGGGCUAUGUAAACUCGUGCAAUGAGAGUUGCACAAUUGUAUAAUAUUUUCCUCACAAUUAUUUUCUUGGAUCUUUUUCUUGUACAAACACUCAAUAACUACAACUGCUUGAAUCUACAAGUCCCAAAGGCUGUUUUUUCCCCGCACAUAAAUGACAAGUUCCAUGCGCUCUCACUUAUGCAGCACAUUUGUAAGUGAAUGUUUAAAGUGAAAGAGGUCGUUCGGCACUGGGCGAAAUAGGCAUAUAUCCGGAGAGAUUAGCAAAGCAAAGCUGCAAAUUCAUCCAGCAUUGCUGCUUGUCGUCCUUAUCAUUCUUAUCCAAUCAGCUCGCAUCAUCUAUGGCAGAGCAAAAAUAACUUAUUAUUGUAAACUUUUUAAAUUAAAGUAAUUGUUUCGACCCCUACCAGAGAAUUGUCCCCAUAGACAUAUGUCUAUGAUUUUCCCCUUUCUGUUGAGGUGCAUGACGGGACAUUUCUUCUCCUCUUGACUCCAGCUGUGGCGCACGCGCAAUGAGAAGCUCCAUCCUUCUAUCCCAACAAGCCUGAAGAGAUACAGCAGCUGCACUUGAAAUCGGAAGCCUUUUCAUUUUUAUUUUAGAAGAGAAUUUAACCAGUUUUUGUCAUGCAGCUAAGCUUUAUUUCAUGCCCGGUUAUAUUCAAGGAAUGCGAUGAAGAUGGAUAAAGUAGAGAGCAUAUCUUUAAGAAUACUGAAUUUAAAAAGACGAAUGAAGACAUAUGCCUGUCUCAGCUCCUGUACAGACCUACCCCCUGCACAACCCUCUCCUGUCUCUCUAUCGUAUCUGUCCAUGGUUUGAUACAUCUGUGAGCAAGAAUCCUUCUUUAUGGCAAAUACAUGGAUGCCUAACCAGAAUUAAAUGAAACCCAGCAACCCAUGCCAUGUCAUUCCUCACAGCGUAGGACUUCAAAGGUUCACAUCAAAGGGCAAAGGUGCCCUGUUCUCAUUCCUAGCAGUUUCUUGUGCAUGCUUGGCCCUGGAUGCGUCAUCUGUCACCAGAAAUGCAUAGGACAUCACGUCUUCCAUGCCCUGAAUUGAACCAAAGACAAUGAUUAGCAUCCAGACUGUCUCUCUGGCCCAACGUUUAAGCAGCCAACAUGAGCACUAAGCUUGCAUUUGCCCUGUCUCUCUGACAGCCAUUUUGACUGAUAGCCUAUAGUGACUCAACUGAUCUCAUAGCUCCUCGGCCCCCCACUUUACAGCACUAUGACCUCAUCUUGGCAGUGACAUCGGCGGUGGAAUGGUGAUGAAGGGCGCCGGAGAGCCAAGGUGUCAGUGAGGCUGGAUGCCAGGCAACCGUGCGGAAGACUGGCAAUGAGCAUCAUUCUGCCAAAUAGAUUGCAAAAUGCAGUCUGUCUGCUGGUUCUUUGAUCUACCUUUGAGAGACUCCAAAGGAUGAGCUUAUCCAGGCUGAUGUGGCCUUGUGUGAGGGUGUGAUUUUGGACCCAGAGAGGAUGAACACAAUGAAGACGAUAGAGGUCCCAGACACCCAGAGGUUGCCUUCUGCCACGCAGGUGCCCAUCGGUUGGCAACGGAAGGGGGACCACACCAGGGUUGUCUACAUAAGUCCCAGUGGUUCAGUCCUUGCCUGCUUGGAGCAGGUGAAGAGUUACCUGCUUACAGAUGGUACCUGUAAGUGUGGUUUGGAGUGUCCCCUCAUUUUGUCAAAGGUGUUCAACUUUGACCCUGGGGCUGCCGUGAGGCAGAGAACUACUGAGGAUGCCAGAGCAGAUGAGGACGUCACCAGGCUGUGCAUCCACAAGAGGAAAAUCAUUGCAGUAGCCACCCUUCACAAGAGCAUGAUGUCACCCAACCCUUCGCUUGUUCUCACCAGUCCAAGUGGGGAUACAAGUUUGGCGUCCUUUACACGUUCCCUGUCUCACCCUCAGCGUGAUGGCUCCACAAGAUCAUUGCCUGAAGACAGCAAUAGGCCGUACCGGACACCAUUGACAACGCAUGGCCAUAUGCACUUCCGACAUGAUAUGGGCUCCCCUCCUCAACAGGAUGUAUACUCUAACUACAGCAGGACAAAGCAAGGCUCAAGUGAACACGUAGACCGUAAAUCGCCCUACCGGCAUCGGCUCAGUGCGCUGCUUAGCCCCAAUAGGGCGGCCGGCUCUCACCCUUACCUGGAUGGUGGCCCUUCCUCUAGAAGUGAUUCCCUCAUGAGUCCAGAUCGGUCUGCUGGCUUCCAAGGAACCUGUAGUCCAGGGAAGACCCAUGCUAACAGGGCGCCCACAACCCCCCUGUCUCCACUACACGCUUCGCAUCUCAGUUCCCUGCCUUCCUCCCAGCCCUCUUGUGCCAUGGCAGGCAGAAUUACCGUCCCUCCAUCUCCAUCCAGUGCUGCCAAAAGCCCGGUCAUGAAGCCACGCUCUUGCAGUUUCCCUCAGAACAUGGACAUGUUUCACCAUAAGCCUCACUCAGUGCUCCACCGUAAUUCUCACCAUCCACAGCUUUCUCCUUGUGUCUUGGCAAAGCAGCAGGUGAACCCCGAAACGGACCCCCUUGGCAUCCUGGACCCCAUUCCCAGUCAUUCUUCUUUGGGGCUAAAUCCAUCGAGCCUUCAGACCAGUGCCCACUCUCAGGUACCACAGAUGAAUGUAAAUAUGCACUCUACCACUGUUCCAUUACCAAGCAAUCUUCCAUUGCCAACAGCAAGGUCCGGUCCUACCAGUAACGGAAGCAGGGGUCAACACCAUGCACCGCUGUCCAUCUCACCAUCACCGAUUGCAUCUCCAGUGCAAAUGGCAGCCUCCUCUCUUGUCAGGCUAGACACUCAACAUCUCAGUACCCAUUCAGCAUCCUCUGUUUCUGACCAUGGAGAUUUUGUGCUACCCACGGGACCACAGGCCUCAUUUGGGCUUAGUAAGGGCCUUUCACAAUCCCCACAAUCCUCUUUAGGUUCCCCCUACCCUGUCAUGCCAUCAAGUCCAACUGCAAAAUCUGAAAUGCUUCAGAAUUACAAGGACCAUUCCAACCACUUCCUCGGGGGAAUGAACAGCACGCUAAGAAAACAUUCCGACCCCAAGUACGCAGGAUUUGGCUCAGGUGAUGGCCUUCAAAAAAGCAACCAGGCCUUGAUGGGAAUGAACCACAUCCUUAAUAAACGCAACCCAACCACGUUCCCAGCAAGUAUUCUCUUGUCUGCAGCAGCCAAAGCACAGACUGCUAAUACAAACGUAUGUGCCGGUGGUGAAUCGGAGGCGGGUGUCCCCGGUGGUCAUCACAGUAUGAAUGCAAUAGCUAACCCUCAUCCCCCGGCAGUGAGCGAGGCCCAGAGUGGCCGCGCCGCAUUACGUGACAAACUUAUGGCCCAGCAGCGGGAUGCAUUCCACAAGAACAGACACCUUAGCAACAGUAACAACACAGCUUUCAACAUGCCGGAGUCCCAGUUUGGUGGCUCAGGUUCUAGAUUCCUUGGUUCCUCGGAAUUCGUCAGAAAGCUUCCACAGCAGCCCGGUUUCAAGGGCAGUACGUCCAUGGCCCAGCUUCUUCAGAACAUGAGCGGUACCCACAACGGAACAUCUCAGAUGGGCCACUACGUAGGGGGGUCAGCCCAGUCUCCCUUUAGGGAUGGCAUGAUAUCUAUAGGUACUCCCUUUCAAAGUCAACAGGUGGUGCUGCGCUCUCAAGAUGGCAUGGACUUGUCACAGUACCAGAACAUGGAACAACAUGGAAUGAACGAAGACCGACCUUCUGCCAUGAUGAAUCAUUAUCAGCCACAGUCCCAUGCAGAGCUCUCUUGGAUGGGUCAGAGUGGACAGGCAGCUAUGGGAUCCCAGGGCCCUCAUAAACCACACCAACAGCAGCUCAGCCACCAUUACUACCCCCUGAACACCCCACACGUCCACAACAGGCCAGCCUUUUCGUCCAUGAUCCCAAAUGGCUAUGCUCAGACACUUUCAGGAGCGCCACAUAAAUGAUUAAAUUCCCGUCACUUGGAAGCUGUGUGGAUUCCCCCAAACGUUCCCCAAAAGCCUCACAGUGGCUUUGGCGAGGUGAUGCUUCCACCAUGAAAUGCUGUCUUGGAAAUCUGCUGUCUAUUAAAGGUUACAGCAAUGUCCAGAGCAGACCUAUACCCCUGAUUACAUCACAGCUAGAACUGCAGGAACUGUGAGAUUCACAAUGGAUCCUGGAGGUAUGCUCCAUCGUUAAAUAUUGUGGCCCAUAUUUUGAGGGGUUGUACAAAUUGUAUUUUGACUGACACAACCAGUACAGUAACAAGGUUAGCACACCAAUUUGUAGAGAUAAAGACUAAAUGGUUAGAUGUAAUACAAAAAGAAAUAACCUGCUGCCAUAGAUACCCAACACUUGAACACAACACAAAUGAAAAUCCUAAACCUGUGGUAAGCGAUAUUUUUAUAACCCUAGAAGUCUUUACAUUUUGUAUCUAUCGUGAGAAUAGACCCUGUGAUAAACAAAAAUGCAUGUGAGAUUUUCCCAGGUUGUAUAAUUGACAACAACUAUGUGAUGUAAUAAAAAAUGUCUAAACAAAGUAUCCAUAUUUCCAUCCAUAUCAACUCAGAUACAAAAAAGGCAGUGUUGGUGGUUAACGUUAGAAUGAGCUUGCUCAUUAGGAAGCCAUUUAGACUUACUAGACAUUAGACAUACAAACUGACUAUAAGAUUGGGUAGACAUCUAUUGUAUGUUAUGUAACAUUUUCUUUUUCCCCGCAGAUUUGGACUUCAUUAGUUCAACCCCUUUUUCUUUAUUCUAGAUGAAAUAUAGCAAAGAAUGUCUCGCUCUCUGCCUUGUCAAUGUGGACUCAGGCAGACUUGCCAAAUCAAAAGCUUCAUAGAUCAGAGGGACCGUCUUGCUGGGGGGCACAAGAGAUGAAUGGCACUUACAAGGCAGUGGUGGAUUCACCCAAAAAUGAUAUAAACCCACCAUAAUGCGACAUCCACCAGUAAGAGGAGAAACAGCAGUCUCAGCAAGGCCCUCGGUGCCACGUGUGCCUUCAGCACCUUCCCAUAAACACCUGUCCUCCGCUCCAGUCUGGUCAACACCUUCCCAUAAACACCUGUCCUCC